UACGAAGGGGGCUAGCGUUGCUCGGAAUCACUGGGCGUAAAGCGCACGUAGGCGGACUGUUAAGUCGGGGGUGAAAUCCUGGGGCUCAACCCCAGAACUGCCCUCGAUACUGGCGGUCUUGAGUGUGGAAGAGGUUGGUGGAACUCCGAGUGUAGAGGUGAAAUUCGUAGAUAUUCGGAAGAACACCAGUGGCGAAGGCGGCCAACUGGCCCAUUACUGACGCUGAGGUGCGAAAGCGUGGGGAGCAAACAGG
rnacentral:rRNA from 1 species